UACGUAGGGUGCAAGCGUUGUCCGGAAUUAUUGGGCGUAAAGAGCUCGUAGGCGGUUUGUCGCGUCUGCUGUGAAAACGCGAGGCUCAACCUCGCGCCUGCAGUGGGUACGGGCAGACUAGAGUGCGGUAGGGGAGAUUGGAAUUCCUGGUGUAGCGGUGGAAUGCGCAGAGUAUCAGGAGGAACACCGAUGGCGAAGGCAGAUCUCUGGGCCGUAACUGACGCUGAGGAGCGAAAGCGUGGGAGC
rnacentral:rRNA from 1 species